UACGUAGGGUGCGAGCGUUGUCCGGAAUUAUUGGGAGUAAAGAGCUCGUAGGCGGCUUGUCGCGUCGGAUGUGAAAGCCCGGGGCUUAACUCCGGGUCUGCAUUCGAUACGGGCAGGCUAGAGUUCGGUAGGGGAGAUCGGAAUUCCUGGUGUAGCGGUGAAAUGCGCAGAUAUCAGGAGGAACACCGGUGGCGAAGGCGGAUCUCUGGGCCGAUACUGACGCUGAGGAGCGAAAGCGUGGGGAGCGAACAGG
rnacentral:rRNA from 1 species